GAAUUGCAUUUCUGCCGCUAAAGCGUUCGCGGAGACUUCAAGGUAUAAUCUAUCCCAGAUCCUUUCCCAGAGAGAAACUUGGCGAUCACGUUUCCACAUGAUGCUCACGUUUGGUGCUCUCCAAUUAUCCCUCCCCACAAAGAUAGGUGGCGUGUGUUGCAGGGUCUCUCCUCUCGCUCGUACAGAAAAGAAAAAGAAAAAAAUGUCAUUAGAAGAGGCGUAACACGUCAGUCCGUCCCCAGGUUUGUGUUUCCUGGAGUGGCAGAAAGAGAUCAGUCCUAACCUGCCCAGCAGGAAUAACGGUCCUUCCGACAACUCUUUGCAAGGCUUUUUACAAUUUCUCCAGGAGCUGCAUCUCCCUUCACCUUUUCUCCUCCACUUCGCGGCUUCUUCAUGCUUUUUCUUCUCACCAUUUCUGGCCAAAACUACAAACAAGACUUCGCAGAGCCUGCGUGCUGCUGCUGCUGCCGCCGCCGCUGCUGCUGCUGAAUCAGGGAGUCGAGCCCAUGCGAACUGCCAUCUGAUCCACUCUUAUCAAUGAAGCAGCAGAUCAUGGCGGAUGGCCCCAGGUGUAAGAGGCGAAAACAAGCCAACCCCCGGAGGAAAAACGGUAAGACGGCCCCCCGGGAAAACUUUUCCGGCCGGCUCCGGCGCGGCCGCGGGGGGAAAGGCGGCGGCAGG
rnacentral:lncRNA from 1 species